rnacentral:rRNA from 1 species
UGAGGAAUAUUGGUCAAUGGGCGGAAGCCUGAACCAGCCAAGUCGCGUGAGGGAUUAAGGCCCUGCGGUCGUAAACCUCUUUUGCCGGGGAGCAGUGGUCCGGACGUGUCCGGGCCGGGAGAGUACCCGGAGAAAAAGCAUCGGCUAACUCCGUGCC